rnacentral:rRNA from 1 species
CGUCCAAGCGUUAUCCGGAUUUAUUGGGUUUAAAGGGUGCGUAGGCGGCUUUUUAAGUCAGGGGUGAAAGACGGUGGCUCAACCAUCGCAGUGCCCUUGAUACUGAAGAGCUUGAAUAAACUAGAGGUAGGCGGAAUGUGACAAGUAGCGGUGAAAUGCAUAGAUAUGUCACAGAACACCAAUUGCGAAGGCAGCUUACUAUGGUUUAAUUGACGCUGAGGCACGAAAGCGUGGGGAUCAAACAGG